AUCCAGCUGACGAGUCCCAAAUAGGAAGAAACAGGCGUUCUAGAU
rfam:Schistosoma curassoni strain Dakar, Senegal genome assembly, scaffold: SCTD_scaffold0003926